rnacentral:lncRNA from 1 species
AUUCCUUUUUGUGGCUGAAUAACAAGCAGCCUGUGUUUUAACAAGCACUCUAGGUGAUUUUGAUGCUCGCUCAAGUUCGAGAACCACUGACCUAGAGCGAUGCUCCUCAAAUUUACCAUCCGUCGGAAUCACUUGGGGAUCUCGUUAAAAUGCAGGUUCUGAUUCAUUAACUGACUUAUUAGCUGAUUCAUUAGUGGGGCCCAAGAUUCUGCAUUUCUAACAAGCUCUGCCUGGAUAGGGUUGAGAACCACUGUCUUAAGCCAUCACAGCUGUGCCCAGCUCACCCUGAAAUGGCAAGAGUGAGGACCAAUCUCUCUAUGGGGUAGAGUGAGAUGGAGGCUGGGGUCUAUUUCUGUCCCAUGGACCAGAAGACGUGGACCUUGAGACCCUAAUUUCUCUGAUUGGCCAUUCAGGGCCGGGAGACAGUCACGAGCCUCACUGGAUUUGUGUUUUCAAAGGAACAGUAAUAACCUCUGAGCAAAUCCAAGCACAGAAUAUCGUCAGCCCAGGACUGUUCAACCUGAGGCUAUUGCCAUAGAAGAAAUCACCGCGUACUACCACAAGCUGUUCCAGCCGGACCCCUCAGAUGUCGGGAGCCGUCACUUGUGUGUGGUUUCGGAGUAGGAAACAAAGACAGUUGGGAAGAUUCUUUUAGAACCUCAUCUGUUUUCUCCACGCUCACCUAGUACAAGACUCCUUCACCUCUCACGUGGACCACUGCCCCUCUGCCUGGACUCACGCUUCUACUCUGUGUCUUAUUAACACCAAGGAAAAGCAGCUCCUGGCAGGUGAGAGCUGGCUUGGCACUCCCAGCUGGGCCUUGGUGCUCUUCUGUUCAACAUAAACACAGCCUCGAACUCCAACAUCAGCCAAGGCCACUCUGUGACCCUGAUAGAUGACGACAAAAAGAAGACCACUCUGUGAUCAUGUCUGAACAGAGACAACAACAUAAACAAUGUCCAAACCACAAAAAUGACCAACGCGCCUUCCAUCCUGGCUGAAAAAUGUUACUCCUGCUUCUUUACCAAUCACAGUUUUAGCCUUCCUCUUUCUCCCACCUUCAAGAUGAGAUUUAUUAAGAAAUUCAGUCACAGUAUUCCCCCUGCUUCCUGAAUACAUUGAAUUCAGAGCAAACCCUACUCCUUGCAUCUUGUCCAGAAUCCCCUAACAUAAGCCCCAAUGCUGGCACUUCUAAGACCCUUUAGCUGAGAUGCUCCCACAGUUCCCCAUGAUGUCUUCUCCCUCACUGCAAGGAGGCAGUCAAGCCCUCUUGUUCAACCACAGGUGUAUUCCCAGUGGUCUUGGGCUGGAGGACACUGACAGUACCCAAAUCAGGUUAAGAUACUUUCUUACUCACCUCCUAUGACUCUCAAAGUCAAAAUCAAACCCUUACCCAACGUCUUCAUCCCUUGACGCUGCCCACCUCUCAGACCUCACUUAUUCACCCCCCCAGCAGCGUCAAGGAUCUGCAGUGAGCCAGGCACUUUCUUGGCACAGGAACAUUUCACACUGCUGUGUGAAGAAUGGAUUGGAGCAAGAGGCCAGGGCAGGGGGUAGGGAGACGGCUUACAAGGCUUGUUUAGUCCAGCGAGACGGUGGAGUGGAAUUGGAGAGGGAGAAGGGUAAAAUGCAAUGCCCAGCAUUAUGCUGAAUGAGCUCAGUCAGACUGAGAAAGAGAAAUACUAUACGAUCUCACUUAUAUACGGAAUCUAAAACAGCUCAACCCUGAGAAACAGAGAGUAGCGUGGUGGUUAUGCGGGGCUGAAGGGGUGGGGGAAAUGGGGAGAUGUUAG